rnacentral:rRNA from 2 species
GGGGGCAUUCUUAGGCUAUACUGCAAGUCGAGCGGACAGAUGGGAACUUGCUCCCUGAUGUUAGCGGCGGACGGGUGAGUAACACGUGGGUAACCUGCCUGUAAGACUGGGAUAACUCCGGGAAACCGGGGCUAAUACCGGAUGGUUGUUUGAACCGCAUGGUUCAGACAUAAAAGGUGGCUUCGGCUACCACUUACAGAUGGACCCGCGGCGCAUUAGCUAGUUGGUGAGGUAACGGCUCACCAAGGCGACGAUGCGUAGCCGACCUGAGAGGGUGAUCGGCCACACUGGGACUGAGACACGGCCCAGACUCCUACGGGAGGCAGCAGUAGGGAAUCUUCCGCAAUGGACGAAAGUCUGACGGAGCAACGCCGCGUGAGUGAUGAAGGUUUUCGGAUCGUAAAGCUCUGUUGUUAGGGAAGAACAAGUGCCGUUCAAAUAGGGCGGCACCUUGACGGUACCUAACCAGAAAGCCACGGCUAACUACGUGCCAGCAGCCGCGGUAAUACGUAGGUGGCAAGCGUUGUCCGGAAUUAUUGGGCGUAAAGGGCUCGCAGGCGGUUUCUUAAGUCUGAUGUGAAAGCCCCCGGCUCAACCGGGGAGGGUCAUUGGAAACUGGGGAACUUGAGUGCAGAAGAGGAGAGUGGAAUUCCACGUGUAGCGGUGAAAUGCGUAGAGAUGUGGAGGAACACCAGUGGCGAAGGCGACUCUCUGGUCUGUAACUGACGCUGAUGAGCGAAAGCGUGGGGAGCUUACACGAUUAGAUAUCUUGGUUAUCCUUAUCCUUAACUAUUAGUGCUAUCUGUUUCGUGAUUUCCCUCCUUAUCUGUCUUCUCA